rnacentral:rRNA from 1 species
ACAUGCAAGUCGAGCGAAGUGAAUCUCCUUCGGGAGUGAAGCUAGCGGCGGACGGGUGAGUAACACGUGGGCAACCUGCCUCAUAGAGGGGAAUAGCCUUCCGAAAGGAAGAUUAAUACCGCAUAAGAUUGUAGCUUCGCAUGAGGUAGCAAUUAAAGGAGCAAUCCGCUAUGAGAUGGGCCCGCGGCGCAUUAGCUAGUUGGUGAGGUAACGGCUCACCAAGGCGACGAUGCGUAGCCGACCUGAGAGGGUGAUCGGCCACAUUGGGACUGAGACACGGCCCAGACUCCUACGGGAGGCAGCAGUGGGGAAUAUUGCACAAUGGGGGAAACCCUGAUGCAGCAACGCCGCGUGAGUGAUGACGGCCUUCCGGGUUGUAAAGCUCUGUCUUCAGGGACGAUAAUGACGGUACCUGAGGAGGAAGCCACGGCUAACUACGUGCCAGCAGCCGCGGUAAUACGUAGGUGGCGAGCGUUGUCCGGAUUUACUGGGCGUAAAGGGAGCGUAGGCGGACUUUUAAGUGAGAUGUGAAAUACCCGGGCUCAACUUGGGUGCUGCAUUUCAAACUGGAAGUCUAGAGUGCAGGAGAGGAGAAUGGAAUUCCUAGUGUAGCGGUGAAAUGCGUAGAGAUUAGGAAGAACACCAGUGGCGAAGGCGAUUCUCUG